GACGAACGCUGGCGGUGUGCUUAACACAUGCAAGUGGUGCGACGAACCAGAGCUUGCUCUGGGGCAAAGCCGCGAACGGGUGAGUAACACGUGGGUAAUCUACCCCGAUGACCGGGACAACCCGAGGAAACUCGGGCUAAUACCGGAUGUGGUACGGAGACAUAAGUCUCUUUACUAAAGGUAGCUUCGGCUUCCGCAUUGGGAGGGGCCCGCGGCCCAUUAGCUAGUUGGUGGGGUCAAGGCCUACCAAGGCAACGAUGGGUAGCUGGUCUGAGAGGACGAUCAGCCACACUGGGACUGAGACACGGCCCAGACUCCUACGGGAGGCAGCAGUGGGGAAUCUUGCGCAAUGCGCGAAAGCGUGACGCAGCAACACCGCGUGAGGGAAGACGGCCUUAGGGUUGUAAACCUCUUUCAGAUGGGGCGAAGGUGAUGCGGUGAAUAGCCGAUGUCAUUGACGGUACCGUCAGAAGAAGCUCCGGCUAACUACGUGCCAGCAGCCGCGGUAAU
rnacentral:rRNA from 1 species